UGUUUGCCUUUAAGAUCAAGAUGGGGUCAUAGAAAAAAACAAGUAGAGCAAAGUGUUUUAUGCACCAUGUUAAGUGGAUGAGCUUCAUCAAUACAAAUACACCGUCCACACACACACAUUUUCUCUAAUGGCUCAUUUGCAUAAUGUGGAUACCUUCACUGUAACCAUAGAGACGUUACAUCAUGAUGGAACAUUUCUCCAUGUUCCAUGUUCCAUGUUCUAUGCUCCGUUCACCACAGCAUAAGAAACACAGUCUGUUGCACAUCCAGUCAGUCAGUUUCAAACCUCGCAUCUACACACUGUUUUCCGGACCUACACUUGCAGAAAGCAACCAUGUAAUGCCUCAGGAGUCUGUAGAGGGGACGAAGACGCGUUCUGCUGCACUCAACAGAGCUCAAGACCAACGGGACGCCAUCAGGACGCCACGCCAUCGGGACGCCACGUCAACGGGACGCCAUCAGGACGUCACGUCAACCCCUCAUGAGCAAAACCAGAUCUACUCAUGAUACACACACACACACCCACACACACACACACACACACACAGAUGUACACACAGACACACUAUCAUUUGGUUCUAAACAGAAGCACACACUAAUAUUUAGAUGUACACAAAGACACAAUAACCAUUAGAUGUACACACAGACACACUAACAAUUAGAUCUACACACAGACACACUAACAAUUACAUGUACACACAGGCACACUAACAUUUGGUUCUAAACAAAGACACACAAUAAUAUUUUGAUGUACAGGAAGACAUAUUAAUAUUUAGAUCUACACACAAACACACUAACAAUUACAUGUACACACAGACACAUCCUGAUGAUCCUCCUCACGUCUCUUCUCCUUGUCUGCAGACCAACAGGACGCCAACAGGACGCCAUCAGGACGCCAUCAGGACGCCACGUCAUCGGGACGCUACGUCAUCAGGAUGCCAUCAGGACGUCAACCCCUACACAUUAAGAUCUACACACAGACACACUAACAAUUAGAUGUACACACAGACACAUCCUGAUUAUCCUCCUCACGUCUCUUCUCCUUGUCUGCAGACCAACGGGACGCCACCAGGACGCCAUCAGGACGCCAUCAGGACGCCACGUCAUCGGGACGCCAUCAGGAUGCCAACAGGACGCCACGUCAACCCCUCAGGAGCAAAUCCAGAUCUACUCAUGACACACACACACACACCCACACACACACACACACACACACACACACACACACACACAUAAAUGUACACACAGACACACUAACAUUUGGUUCUAAACAAAGACACACACUAAUAUUUAGAUGUACACACAGGAACACUAACAAUUACAUGUACACACAGACACACUAACAUUUGGUUCUAAACAAAGACACACACUAAUAUUUUGAUGUACACAAAGACACAUUCAUAUUUAGAUGUACACACAGGCACACUAACAAUUACAUGAACACACAGACACACUAACAUUUGGUUCCAAACAAAGACACACACUAACAUUUAGAUGUACACAAAGACACACACUAAUAUUUUGAUGUACACGAAGACAUAUUAAUAUUUAGAUCUACACACAGACACACUAACAAUUAGAUGUACACACAGACACAUCCUGAUGAUCCUCCUCACGUCUCUUCUCCUUGUCUGCAGACCAACGGGACGCCAUCAGGACGCCAUCAGGACGCCACGUCAUCGGGACGCUACGUCAUCAGGAUGCCAUCAGGACGCCACGUCAACCCCUACACAUUAAGAUGUACACACAGACACACUAACAAUUAGAUGUACACACAGACACACCAACAACAUUAACAUGUUAAUAACAUUUCUUCUUUUCUCUCUUCUCAGGAACUGCUUCAGGUGUUUUCCCAAUGAUUGUGUUAUUAUUAUUUUUAAUCAUGUCGUCUGUUUAUUAUUUUAACAAUGAAAAUAAAUUUUAAUAAAAAUAAAACCAAAUGAAUCCGUCUCUUUUUCUUCAGACCAAAGAGAAUCACAUGUUCUUUAUUAUUCGUUGACUUGAAUGAAGUGAAACAACAAUGAUCUUGAGUUAAUGAGCGUUUGUGUAUUUAAUGACACACAAAGGUUUCAGUCGACAUUUUAAGCCUGAUUUCAAUUGUUGACUCACUUCCUCCUGUAAUCAGACAUCAGGCGGAAGAAGAAGAGAAUAUUUAGUCAAUGAACAUGUUUCCGAUAUGGAACAUUUUGAUUAAAACAUGAAUGCUUCUAAAAAAG
ensembl:lncRNA